UACGUAGGGGGCAAGCGUUAUCCGGAAUUACUGGGUGUAAAGGGAGCGUAGACGGUUAAGUAAGUCUGGAGUGAAAGGCCGGGGCCCAACCCCGGGACUGCUCUGGAAACUAUUGAACUUGAGUGCAGGAGAGGUAAGCGGAAUUCCUAGUGUAGCGGUGAAAUGCGUAGAUAUUAGGAGGAACACCAGUGGCGAAGGCAGCAUACCGGCGCCCUACUGACGCUGAGGCACGAAAGUGCGGGUAUCGAACAGG
rnacentral:rRNA from 1 species